UUUUAUGGAGAGUUUGAUCCUGGCUCAGGAUGAACGCUGGCGGCGUGCCUAAUACAUGCAAGUCGAGCGAACGGACGAGAAGCUUGCUUCUCUGAUGUUAGCGGCGGACGGGUGAGUAACACGUGGAUAACCUACCUAUAAGACUGGGAUAACUUCGGGAAACCGGAGCUAAUACCGGAUAAUAUUUUGAACCGCAUGGUUCAAAAGUGAAAGACGGUCUUGCUGUCACUUAUAGAUGGAUCCGCGCUGCAUUAGCUAGUUGGUAAGGUAACGGCUUACCAAGGCAACGAUGCAUAG
rnacentral:rRNA from 2 species